rnacentral:rRNA from 1 species
GUGCACGCUGGCGGUAGGCCUAACACAUGCCAGUCGAACGGCAGCACAGUAAGAGCUUGCUCUUACGGGUGGCGAGUGGCGGACGGGUGAGGAAUACAUCGGAAUCUACUUUUUCGUGGGGGAUAACGUAGGGAAACUUACGCUAAUACCGCAUACGACCUACGGGUGAAAGCAGGGGAUCUUCGGACCUUGCGCGAUUGAAUGAGCCGAUGUCGGAUUAGCUAGUUGGCGGGGUAAAGGCCCACCAAGGCGACGAUCCGUAGCUGGUCUGAGAGGAUGAUCAGCCACACUGGAACUGAGACACGGUCCAGACUCCUACGGGAGGCAGCAGUGGGGAAUAUUGGACAAUGGGCGCAAGCCUGAUCCAGCCAUACCGCGUGGGUGAAGAAGGCCUUCGGGUUGUAAAGCCCUUUUGUUGGGAAAGAAAAGCAGCAGGUUAAUACCCCGCUGUUCUGACGGUACCCAAAGAAUAAGCACCGGCUAACUCCGUG